AGCUUUAUUUUGAUGCUUGAACUCAAUUUGAUACACUAGACUCAAUAAUUAUUAGAAAUUGUAGCAGAUAUUGAAAAUUAGUCAAACCUGAAUUCAAUUAAAAUCAAGUAUAGUUGAGUCGUAAUAGCUGCCAUUGUUGAUAUCAGCGGUGGACAUGAAUUGAUUGCAGUUUGUAUUAGAAUGAUAAACCAGUUAUGUUGUUCAGUGAUAAAGAAGAUAUCCUUCAUAUUACUAUUAUUAGUAGUUCUGUUUUUGAUGUUUCCACUUGAUCAUCAGGUUUCAAGCUGGAGAGAUUUCAU
rnacentral:misc_RNA from 1 species